UACGUAGGUGGCGAGCGUUGUCCGGAUUUACUGGGCGUAAAGAGCGCGCAGGCGGUCGUACAAGUCGCGUGUGAAAGCCCCCGGCUCAACUGGGGAGGGUCACGCGAUACUGUUCGACUCGAAGGCAGGAGAGGGAAGUGGAAUUCCCGGUGUAGUGGUGAAAUGCGUAGAUAUCGGGAGGAACACCAGUGGCGAAGGCGACUUCCUGGCCUGUUCUUGACGCUGAGGCGCGAAAGCUAGGGUAGCGAACAGG
rnacentral:rRNA from 1 species